CCGGAUUGUCCGCCAGAUCUUCACCUGGGUCGGGCACGAGCGCCUGACGCUCGCCGGGGUCUGCCGGCGCUGGCUCGGCAACGGCAUCCCGAGCCCAACCGGUCACCGGGACUGGAGCCGUGCGAUGAUCCACACCCUGCUGCUCAACCCAGCCUACGCCGGUCAGGCGAUCUAUGGUCGGCGCCAGUGCGUGCCGGGGCAGCGGCCCCUCCAUCCACCCCGCGGCCACACCGGCUUGCCAAGGCGACCGUACCGGCAGGUUCCCGCCCCGGCCGAGCG
rnacentral:misc_RNA from 1 species